rnacentral:rRNA from 1 species
UGCGUAGGGGGCAAGCGUUGUCCGGAAUCAUUGGGCGUAAAGCGCGUGUAGGCGGCCCGGUAAGUCCGCUGUGAAAGUCGGGGGCUCAACCCUCGAAUGCCGGUGGAUACUGUCGGGCUAGAGUGCGGGAGAGGCGAGUGGAAUUCCUGGUGUAGCGGUGAAAUGCGUAGAUAUCAGGAGGAACACCGGUGGCGAAGGCGGCUAUCUGGACAGAGUCUGACGCUGAUGCGCGAAAGCUAGGGGAGCAAACAGG